rnacentral:rRNA from 1 species
GAUGAACGCUGCCUGCGUGCCUAAUACAUGCAAGUCGAGCGAACGGACGAGAAGCUUGCUUCUCUGAUGUUAGCGGCGGACGGGUGAGUAACACGUGGAUAACCUACCUAUAAGACUGGGAUAACUUCGGGAAACCGGAGCUAAUACCGGAUAAUAUUUUGAACCGCAUGGUUCAAAAGUGAAAGACGGUCUUGCUGUCACUUAUAGAUGGAUCCGCGCUGCAUUAGCUAGUUGGUAAGGUAACGGCUUACCAAGGCAACGAUGCAUAGCCGACCUGAGAGGGUGAUCGGCCACACUGGAACUGAGACACGGUCCAGACUCCUACGGGAGGGAGCAGUAGGGAAUCUUCCGCAAUGGGCGAAAGCCUGACGGAACAACCCCGCGUGAGUGAUGAAGGUCUUCGGAUCGUAAAAGUCUGUUAUUAGGGAAGAACCUAGGGGUAAGGACCUGUGCCCAUUUUGCCGGUCCUUAAUCAGAAAGCCACGGCUAAUUACGUGCCAGCACCCGCGGUAAUACGUAGGUGGCAAGCGUAUUCCGGAAUUAUUGGGCGUAAAGCGCGCGUAGGCCGUUUUUUUAAGUCUGAUGUGAAAACCCCCCGGCUCAACCGUGGAGGGUCAUUUGGAAACUGAAAAACUUGAGUGCAGAAGAGGAAAGUGGAAUCCCAUGUGUAGCGGUGAAAUGCGCAGAGAUAUGAGGAACACCAGUGGCGAAGGCGACUUUCUGGUCUGUAACUGACGCUGAUGUGCGAAAGCGUGGGGAUCAAACAGGAUUAGAUACCCUGGUAGUCCACGCCGUAAACGAUGAGUGCUAAGUGUUAGGGGGUUUCCGCCCCUUAGUGCUGCAGCUAACGCAUUAAGCACUCCGCCUGGGGAGUACGACCGCAAGGUUGAAACUCAAAGGAAUUGACGGGGACCCGCACAAGCGGUGGAGCAUGUGGUUUAAUUCGAAGCAACGCGAAGAACCUUACCAAAUCUUGACAUCCUUUGACAACUCUAGAGAUAGAGCUUUCCCCUUCGGGGGACAAAGUGACAGGUGGUGCAUGGUUGUCGUCAGCUCGUGUCGUGAGAUGUUGGGUUAAGUCCCGCAACGAGCGCAACCCUUAAGCUUAGUUGCCAUCAUUAAGUUGGGCACUCUAAGUUGACUGCCGGUGACAAACCGGAGGAAGGUGGGGAUGACGUCAAAUCAUCAUGCCCCUUAUGAUUUGGGCUACACACGUGCUACAAUGGACAAUACAAAGGGCAGCGAAACCGCGAGGUCAAGCAAAUCCCAUAAAGUUGUUCUCAGUUCGGAUUGUAGUCUGCAACUCGACUACAUGAAGCUGGAAUCGCUAGUAAUCGUAGAUCAGCAUGCUACGGUGAAUACGUUCCCGGGUCU